CGAGAUGGCUAAAGGUUGCGGAAUCUUUUAACCAUACCACGUGGUUAAACUCUUAAACUAUCGAUACUGACAGAAUGAGAACAUGUCUUUGAUAUUAAUUACUAGUCUGCAGCUAGGAAUUCGGUAUCAUUGAACGCGAAGAACGACAACCGCCAAAACAUCCAUUCUAUAACGAAUGUCACUUUGAACUAUCCCCUCUAACCAAGACAGAGAGAGAGAGAGAGAGAGAGAGAGAGAGAGAGAGAGAGAGAGAGAGAGACUGACAAUUCUACAAAAGAAAGACUUUUCACCAACGAUCAAGACGACACACUUCUCCUUUGUCUAACAAGCCGACAUGCUGGUUUAGCCCACUAGGGCACAUCCUCCUAUCAUUACAUUUACCUUUGUUUAUGCAUUUCUGUGAAUUACUAGGUAAUAAAUCAAUUAUUUAAGACAAUUGAUGUAUGGAUGACUCAUAGUGAAGACUGGGUUCAUGCAGAUAACCAACAACUUACGACGUUUGGAAUGAGACUAAUGUGAGGUAUUUUGAGGAAAGAAAGAUAAGAGGGGGAAAAUCAUGGAGGUUUCCUGGUGACAUAACAGAGUGACACACCUGUUCCGGUAUGUUGGCUGAGGCGAUGAUACGACGCUCCUCUCUGAGGCUAGUGGAGAUGACCCCGGCCAUGAGCAGAGGGACAAUGACGCAACACACCUCCAGGCUGUGUAAGGGUUAUUUUACCAAGAAGGAGAGUGAUGAAGUGCUGCAUUAGAUGACCUGGCCUCCAAAAUCCCUCGACCUCAACGAAAUUGAGAUGGUUUGGGAUGAGUCGCACCGCAGAGUGAAGGAAAAGCAGCCAACAAGUGCUCAGCAAAUGUGGGAACUCCUUCAAGACUGUUGGAAAAGCAUUCCAGGUGAAGCUGGUUGAGAGAAUGGCAAAAGCUGUCAUCAAGGCAAAGGGUGGCUACUUUGAAUAGUAUAAAAUAUAAAAUAUAUUUUGAUUUCAUUUUUUUUGGUUACUACAUGAUUCCAUAUGUGUUAUUUCAUAGUUUUGAUGUCUUCACUAUUAUUCGACAAUGUAGAAAUGAGUGAAAAUAAAGAGUAGGUUUUCUAAAACUUUUGACCGGAAGUGUAUGUAUUGUUUUUAGGCAUUUAAACCCUUUUUGUUGGGUAGGCACAAAACUACCUUCAUACUUCCAUUCAUAUUUUUAAACCAGUACCGUUUACCUUCAGAUGAGUCCUGUGAUGCUUGUGGGGUCGCAGAGCCCAUUCAUUUGUAGCCCAAAUAGUUCGGACACGACCAAACACAAGUUGGCACAUGGAUGGCACCGACUUCCGACGAGUCUCCUGACACGUUAGAGUCUCCCCUUUCCAUAGAGUGGUCAUAAUAGUUUGUAGGUCAAACCGUUUGGAUGCUACAGACAGACUCUGCCACCUUUCACCACAGAUGUGGAAGUGCGACACUGCGGUGAAUUGAGACGCAUCCAGUGGAAAAAAACUGAUAUCUCUUAAACUGAUGGAUUUUUAUGUUUUGUUAUAUCAUUUAAAUUGACACAUUAACUCUAGGGGGAUAAUGUAAAACUAUGUGGUAAUAGUCUGAUGUUUUUCAUCCAUGUUCACCGCAUGUUUAUAAGCUAUUUUUGUCCUCUAUAUAUUACUGAAACAUGUCUUCCCUUUUUCAAUAAGUAAAGCAUCAUUUGGCGUAUUCUGUAAUAAUGAUAAUUAAUAAUAAAGAUAUACGUUUAUUCAA